GGGGCUGUGGCGAAAUUGGUAGACGCAACCGACUCGCACUCCGUUCGCUGGUGCACAACCAGCCCCACCA
rnacentral:tRNA from 1 species